GAUGAAGAACGUAGCGAAAUGCGAUAAGUAAUGUGAAUUGCAGAAUUCAGUGAAUCAUCGAAUCUUUGAACGCACAUUGCGCCCUCUGGUAUUCCGGGGGGCAUGCCUGUUCGAGCGUCAUUAUAACCACUCAAGCUCUCGCUUGGUAUUGGGGUUCGCGGUUCCGCGGCCCCUAAAAUCAGUGGCGGUGCCUGUCGGCUCUACGCGUAGUAAUACUCCUCGCGAUUGAGUCCGGUAGGUCUACUUGCCAGCAACCCCCAAUUUUUUUCAGGUUGACCUCGGAUCAGGUAGGGAUACCCGCUGAACUUAAGCAUAUCAAUAAGCGGAGGA
rnacentral:misc_RNA from 1 species